CAAAGAUGAUUUCACAAAGUUAUCUGCUGAGUUUAUUGUUGCUUUUUAUCCAAGGGUCCUGGGGACAGAUUGUGUCCGGUCCACCAGAUUCUUUCACUGUGUCACCAGGAGAAAGUGUCACCAUCAAAUGUAAAACCCCUAGUACUGUUAGCAGCAGCUACUUGCACUGGUACCAACAGAAACCAGGACAAGCUCCCAAACUUCUUAUCUAUGGUACAAGCAACAAAUACACAGGGACCCCAGACAGGUUCAGUGGCAGUGGGUCUGGUACUGAUUACACUCUCACAAUCAGCAGAGUGCAAGCAGAAGAUGCAGCAGAUUAUUACUGUCAGUACUACUGGGGCAGCAAUAUAUUAACAUUUAUAUGGGGGAGCAAGAGACACCAACGUAAAAGUGGAAAUAUCUGGAGCUGA